UACAGAGGGUGCAUGCGUUAAUCGGAAUUACUGGGCGUAAAGCGCACGCAGGCGGUCUGUUAAGUCAGAUGUGAAAUCCCCGGGCUUAACCUGGGAACUGCAUUUGAAACUGGCAGGCUUGAGUCUUGUAGAGGGGGGUAGAAUUCCAGGUGUAGCGGUGAAAUGCGUAGAGAUCUGGAGGAAUACCGGUGGCGAAGGCGGCCCCCUGGACAAAGACUGACGCUCAGGUGCGAAAGCGUGGGGAGCAAACAGG
rnacentral:rRNA from 1 species